rnacentral:lncRNA from 1 species
UACAGUCUCUGUAAUUUAACAAAAUUUAGUUUAUUUGCUUUUUUGUAAGUAACAUUAGCUUUCUCAAUGUCUGUUUCACCUUCUUUGCAGUCUGUUUAUCCAGCCUGGGGAAGAAACUGGCUCCAUUUAAACAAUGGGACAAAAAAGGUGCAAACUUGACCAGCUUCCCUACCUUUUUUGCAUUAGCGUGGUCAAACAUUUUGCAUCCAGGAAAAGUACUGCAGAAAAUCACACUGUGGGCAGCUAUCUGAACUAUACUGGAAGAAACCAAUUCACCUCAAAUACCAAGGAAAUGGGUGUGAUGUAGGAG